CCUACGGGAGACAGCAGUGAGGAAUAUUGGUUAAUGGACGAGAGUCUGAACCAGCCAAGUAGCGUGAAGGAUGACUGCCCUAUGGGUUGUAAACUUCUUUUAUAUGGGAAUAAAAUGUUCCACGUGUGGGAUUUUGUAUGUACCAUAUGAAUAAGGAUCGGCUAACUCCGUGCCAGCAGCCGCGGUAAUACGGAGGAUCCGAGCGUUAUCCGGAUUUAUUGGGUUUAAAGGGAGCGUAGGUGGAUUGUUAAGUCAGUUGUGAAAGUUUGCGGCUCAACCGUAAAAUUGCAGUUGAAACUGGCAGUCUUGAGUACAGUAGAGGUGGGCGGAAUUCGUGGUGUAGCGGUGAAAUGCUUAGAUAUCACGAAGAACUCCGAUUGCGAAGGCAGUUCACUGGACUGCAACUGACACUGAGGCUCGAAAGUGUGGGUAUCAAACAGGAUUAGAUACCCCAGUAGUC
rnacentral:rRNA from 1 species